rnacentral:rRNA from 1 species
UACGAAGGUGGCAAGCGUUGUUCGGAUUUACUGGGCGUACAGGGAGCGUAGGCGGUUGGGUAGGCCCUUCGUGAAAUCUCCAGGCCUAACCCGGAAAGUGCGGAGGGGACUGCUCGGCUAGAGGGAUGGGAGAGGGAGCGCGGAAUUCCCGGUGUGAGCGGUGAAAUGCGUAGAGAUACGGGAGGAAGGCCGGUGGCGAAGGCGGCGGCUCUGGAACAUUUCUG